rnacentral:rRNA from 1 species
ACUCCUACGGGAGGCAGCAGUGGGGAAUAUUGCACAAUGGGCGCAAGCCUGAUGCAGCCAUGCCGCGUGUGUGAAGAAGGCCUUCGGGUUGUAAAGCACUUUCAGUUGUGAGGAAGGUGGUGUCGUUAAUAGCGGCAUCAUUUGACGUUAGCAACAGAAGAAGCACCGGCUAACUCCGUGCCAGCAGCCGCGGUAAUACGGAGGGUGCGAGCGUUAAUCGGAAUUACUGGGCGUAAAGCGCAUGCAGGUGGUUUGUUAAGUCAGAUGUGAAAGCCCGGGGCUCAACCUCGGAACUGCAUUUGAAACUGGCAGACUAGAGUACUGUAGAGGGGGUUAGAAUUUCAGGUGUAGCGGUGAAAUGCGUAGAGAUCUGAAGGAAUACCGGUGGCGAAGGCGGCCCCUGGACAGAUACUGACACUCAGAUGCGAAAGCGUGGGAGCAAACAGGAUUAGAUACCCCUGGUAGCACAGAG